rnacentral:misc_RNA from 1 species
CUGAAGAAAUGAUAAGGUUGAGCUGACUCUUCGGAGUAUGUGCUCGCCUUGUCGCUUUUUCUACUUUUCCACCUGUGAACCUAUUGUAGAUUCAUGAUGAAGGGCGCCCUGUGGUGCUCUUCACUCCUUCGGGAGUGGUUAGAGAGUCUUGGGAUGUUUUCCUCCCUUGGCUUCAGCUCAUCAAGAAUCUAUGUUUAUAUCAAACUCUUGAAAAGUCUCUGAAUGUAUACUAGUUGGUCUUCACUGACCGAUAAUCCUUAAAA